rnacentral:lncRNA from 1 species
UGACAGCGUCCAAGCUGCAUGUAUCAGCUACGGUUAUUAAUUUUCCUUCAUCAAUAUCAGAUGCCAAACGCUGCUGUCGGGCCUCGGCUUCCUCCUGUCGUCGCCAUGCUGCCUCCAGCGCGCCUCGGCGGUCUAUGUGCAAAGCCAUGGCACGAACAACAGGACGUCGGGAGCAAUACACGAAUUUUCCUGGAAACAUAGCGUGCGCUUUGCCGGUCUGCACGUUCCGAUAGGGGCAUCUAAACCCUAAGACCGACAUCGCAGUUGGCCGUUUUCGGAAUAUUAAUGGUAAGGUUGUAUCCUUCCAACCUGGUGCUUCGACUUAACAGUUUUGUAGAGGCACCUUGGAGAAGCGAAGCCUUUUGACGUGGUUUGCUUCUCGGCGGGUAAUUUUCAACGUUAAUGCUAUGAGCUUUACUAUACAAUGUCUAAAACAU